UGAUGUCCAAGGGAGAAAUGGACAUAAAAUGGAUGCUUGCAUACAUUUUUAUGUCUAUGAAUCCCGCCAAAUCAUGAAAAAGCAGCCAUUUUUCGCAGAAAAAUGAGCGGAUUUUGAAUGAUUGCAAAAUUGCGAGAGUUAUAUUAUAACGGAGCAAUUUUGAGGACAUCA
rnacentral:sRNA from 1 species